AUGCCUCUCCGCCGAAAGCUCCGGCGCCUGAGGAUGAGCCUGCGCCCGAUUAGGUUGUUGGCGGUGUAACGGACCACCAAGCCUUAGAUCGGUACGGGCACUGAGAGGUGGAGCCCGGAGAUGGGGGCUGAGACACGGCCCCAGGCCCUACGGGGCGCAGCAGGCGCGAAAACUCCGCAAUACGCGCAAGCGUGACGGGGGAACCCCAAGUGCCUCAUCUUUUUGGUGAGGCUUUUUCAGAGUGUAAACAGCUCUGAGAAUAAAAGCGGGGUAAGACCGGUGCCAGCCGCCGCGGUAACACCGGCCGCUCAAGUGGUGACCGCUAUUAUUGGGCCUAAGGCGUCCGUAGCCGGUUCGGUAAGUCCCUGGGUAAAUCCUGCCGUUUAACGGUAGGAAUUCUGGGGAUACUGCCGGACUCGGGGUCGAGAGAAGUCGGAGGUACUCCGGGGGUAGCGGUGAAAUGCUGUAAUCCUCGGGGGACCACCAGUGGCGAAGGCGUCCGACUAGAGCGGGCCCGACGGUGAGGGACGAAAGCCAGGGGAGCGAACGGGAUUAGAUACCCCGGUAGUC
rnacentral:rRNA from 1 species